rnacentral:tRNA from 1 species
GGAGAGGUGUCAGAGCGGCCGAAUGAGCCGGAUUCGAAAUCCGGUGUACCCGUGAGGGUACCGUGGGUUCAAAUCCCACCCUCUCCGCCA